AUCCAGCUGAAGGGUCACAAAUAGGACGAAACACAUGUUCUGGGU
rnacentral:hammerhead_ribozyme from 1 species